CCUACGGGAGGCAGCAGUGGGGAAUAUUGGACAAUGGGCGCAAGCCUGAUCCAGCCAUACCGCGUGGGUGAAGAAGGCUUUUGGGUUGUAAAACCCUUUUGUUGGGAAAGAAAAGCAGCGGGCUAAUACCUUGCUGUUCUGACGGUACCCAAAGAAUAAGCACCGGCUAACUUCGUGCCAGCAGCCGCGGUAAUACGAAGGGUGCCAGCGUUACUUGGAAUUACUGGGCGUAAAGCGUGCGUAGGUGGUUGUUUAAGUCUGUUGUGAAAACCCUGGGCUCAACCUGGGAACUGCAGUGGAAACUGGAUGACUAGAGUGUGGUAGAGGGUAGCGGAAUUCCCGGUGUAGCAGUGAAAUGCGUAGAGAUCGGGAGGAACAUCCAUGGCGAAGGCAGCUACCUGGACCAACACUGACACUGAGGCACGAAAGCGUGGGGAGCAAACAGGAUUAGAUACCCUGGUAGUCCACGCCCUAAACGAUGCUAACUGGAUGUUGGGUGCACUUUGGCACGCAGUAUCGAAGCUAACGCGUUAAGU
rnacentral:rRNA from 1 species